rnacentral:rRNA from 1 species
CACUAUCGUUAACUGAAUACAUAGGUUAACGAGGCGAACCGGGGGAACUGAAACAUCUAAGUACCCCGAGGAAAAGAAAUCAACCGAGAUUCCCCCAGUAGCGGCGAGCGAACGGGGAGCAGCCCAGAGUCUGAAUCAGCUUGUGUGUUAGUGGAACGGUCUGGAAAGUCCGACGGUACAGGGUGAUAGUCCCGUACACCAAAAUGCACAGGCUGUGAACUCGAAGAGUAGGGCGGGACACGUGGUAUCCUGUCUGAAUAUGGGGGGACCAUCCUCCAAGGCUAAAUACUCCUGACUGACCGAUAGUGAACCAGUACCGUGAGGGAAAGGCGAAAAGAACCCCGGCGAGGGGAGUGAAAAAGAACCUGAAACCGUGUACGUACAAGCAGUGGGAGCACCUUCGGGUGUGACUGCGUACCUUUUGUAUAAUGGGUCAGCGACUUAUAUUCUGUAGCAAGGUUAACCGUAUAGGGGAGCCGCAGGGAAACCGAGUCUUAACUGGGCGUUAAGUUGCAGGGUAUAGACCCGAAACCCGGUGAUCUAGCCAUGGGCAGGUUGAAGGUUGGGUAACACUAACUGGAGGACCGAACCGACUAAUGUUGAAAAAUUAGCGGAUGACUUGUGGCUGGGGGUGAAAGGCCAAUCAAACCGGGAGAUAGCUGGUUCUCCCCGAAAGCUAUUUAGGUAGCGCCUCGUGAAUUCAUCUUCGGGGGUAGAGCACUGUUUCGGCUAGGGGGUCAUCCCGACUUACCAACCCGAUGCAAACUACGAAUACCGAAGAAUGUUAUCACGGGAGACACACGGCGGGUGCUAACGUCCGUCGUGAAGAGGGAAACAACCCAGACCGCCAGCUAAGGUCCCAAAGUCAUGGUUAAGUGGGAAACGAUGUGGGAAGGCACAGACAGCCAGGAUGUUGGCUUAGAAGCAGCCAUCAUUUAAAGAAAGCGUAAUAGCUCACUGGUCGAGUCGGCCUGCGCGGAAGAUGUAACGGGGCUAAACCAUGCACCGAAGCUGCGGCAGCGACACUAUGUGUUGUUGGGUAGGGGAGCGUUCUGUAAGCCUGCGAAGGUGACCUGUGAGGGUUGCUGGAGGUAUCAGAAGUGCGAAUGCUGACAUAAGUAACGAUAAAGCGGGUGAAAAGCCCGCUCGCCGGAAGACCAAGGGUUCCUGUCCAACGUUAAUCGGGGCAGGGUGAGUCGACCCCUAAGGCGAGGCCGAAAGGCGUAGUCGAUGGGAAACAGGUUAAUAUUCCUGUACUUGGUGUUACUGCGAAGGGGGGACGGAGAAGGCUAUGUUAGCCGGGCGACGGUUGUCCCGGUUUAAGCAUGUAGGCUGGUUANNNNNNNNNNNNNNNNNNNNNNNNNNNNNNNNNNNNNNNNNNNNNNNNNNNNNNNNNNNNNNNNNNNNNNNNNNNNNNNNNNNNNNNNNNNNNNNNNUGUCCAGGCAAAUCCGGAUAAUCAAGGCUGAGGUGUGAUGACGAGGCACUACGGUGCUGAAGUAACAAAUGCCCUGCUUCCAGGAAAAGCCUCUAAGCAUCAGGUAACAUCAAAUCGUACCCCAAACCGACACAGGUGGUCAGGUAGAGAAUACCAAGGCGCUUGAGAGAACUCGGGUGAAGGAACUAGGCAAAAUGGUGCCGUAACUUCGGGAGAAGGCACGCUGGUGUGUAGGUGAAGUCCCUGCGGAUGGAGCUGAGACCAGUCGAAGAUACCAGCUGGCUGCAACUGUUUAUUAAAAACACAGCACUGUGCAAACACGAAAGUGGACGUAUACGGUGUGACGCCUGCCCGGUGCCGGAAGGUUAAUUGAUGGGGUUAUCCGUAAGGAGAAGCUCUUGAUCGAAGCCCCGGUAAACGGCGGCCGUAACUAUAACGGUCCUAAGGUAGCGAAAUUCCUUGUCGGGUAAGUUCCGACCUGCACGAAUGGCGUAAUGAUGGCCAGGCUGUCUCCACCCGAGACUCAGUGAAAUUGAACUCGCUGUGAAGAUGCAGUGUACCCGCGGCAAGACGGAAAGACCCCGUGAACCUUUACUAUAGCUUGACACUGAACAUUGAGCCUUGAUGUGUAGGAUAGGUGGGAGGCUUUGAAGCGUGGACGCCAGUCUGCGUGGAGCCAACCUUGAAAUACCACCCUUUAAUGUUUGAUGUUCUAACGUUGGCCCCUUACCGGGGUUGCGGACAGUGUCUGGUGGGUAGUUUGACUGGGGCGGUCUCCUCCCAAAGCGUAACGGAGGAGCACGAAGGUUAGCUAAUCCUGGUCGGACAUCAGGAGGUUAGUGCAAUGGCAUAAGCUAGCUUGACUGCGAGCGUGACGGCGCGAGCAGGUGCGAAAGCAGGUCAUAGUGAUCCGGUGGUUCUGAAUGGAAGGGCCAUCGCUCAACGGAUAAAAGGUACUCCGGGGAUAACAGGCUGAUACCGCCCAAGAGUUCAUAUCGACGGCGGUGUUUGGCACCUCGAUGUCGGCUCAUCACAUCCUGGGGCUGAAGUAGGUCCCAAGGGUAUGGCUGUUCGCCAUUUAAAGUGGUACGCGAGCUGGGUUUAGAACGUCGUGAGACAGUUCGGUCCCUAUCUGCCGUGGGCGCUGGAGAAUUGAGGGGGGCUGCUCCUAGUACGAGAGGACCGGAGUGGACGCAUCACUGGUGUUCGGGUUGUCAUGCCAAUGGCACUGCCCGGUAGCUAAAUGCGGAAGAGAUAAGUGCUGAAAGCAUCUAAGCACGAAACUUGCCCCGAGAUGAGUUCUCCCUGAGACUUUAAGUCUCCUGAAGGAACGUUAAAGACGAUGACGUUGAUAGGCCGGGUGUGUAAGCGCAGCGAUGCGUUGAGCUAACCGGUACUAAUGAACCGUGAGGCUUAACCUUACAACGCCGAAG